rnacentral:rRNA from 1 species
UACGGAGGGUGCAAGCGUUAUCCGGAUUUACUGGGUUUAAAGGGUGUGUAGGCGGGCUAUUAAGUCAGCGGUGAAAUCUCCGGGCUCAACCCGGAAACUGCCAUUGAUACUAUUAGUCUUGAAUUUUGUUGAGGUAGGCGGAAUAAGUCAUGUAGCGGUGAAAUGCGUAGAUAUCGUAAGGAAGACCAGUGGCGAAGGCGGGUCUCUGGACAGUUCCUGACGCUGAGGCACGAAGGUCAGGGGAGCAAACGGG